rnacentral:rRNA from 1 species
AUUGUGAGCUUGAUGAGUAGGGCGGGACACGUGGUAUCCUGUCUGAAUAUGGGGGGACCAUCCUCCAAGGCUAAAUACUCCUGACUGACCGAUAGUGAACCAGUACCGUGAGGGAAAGGCGAAAAGAACCCCGGCGAGGGGAGUGAAAAAGAACCUGAAACCGUGUACGUACAAGCAGUGGGAGCACGCUUAGGCGUGUGACUGCGUACCUUUUGUAUAAUGGGUCAGCGACUUAUAUUCUGUAGCAAGGUUAACCGAAUAGGGGAGCCGAAGGGAAACCGAGUCUUAACUGGGCGUUAAGUUGCAGGGUAUAGACCCGAAACCCGGUGAUCUAGCCAUGGGCAGGUUGAAGGUUGGGUAACACUAACUGGAGGACCGAACCGACUAAUGUUGAAAAAUUAGCGGAUGACUUGUGGCUGGGGGUGAAAGGCCAAUCAAACCGGGAGAUAGCUGGUUCUCCCCGAAAGCUAUUUAGGUAGCGCCUCGUGAAUUCAUCUCCGGGGGUAGAGCACUGUUUCGGCAAGGGGGUCAUCCCGACUUACCAACCCGAUGCAAACUGCGAAUACCGGAGAAUGUUAUCACGGGAGACACACGGCGGGUGCUAACGUCCGUCGUGAAGAGGGAAACAACCCAGACCGCCAGCUAAGGUCCCAAAGUCAUGGUUAAGUGGGAAACGAUGUGGGAAGGCCCAGACAGCCAGGAUGUUGGCUUAGAAGCAGCCAUCAUUUAAAGAAAGCGUAAUAGCUCACUGGUCGAGUCGGCCUGCGCGGAAGAUGUAACGGGGCUAAACCAUGCACCGAAGCUGCGGCAGCGACGCUU